GUGGCGCACGGCUGAGUAACACGUGGGAACCCGCCCCCCGGUGGGGGAUAACGCGACGAAAGGCCUAAUCCCGCAUACGUCCGCAGGGGGAAAGCGCUUCGGCGCGCCGGGGGAGGGGCCUGCGGCAUCAGGUCGUUGGUGGGGUAACGGCCUACCAAGCCGAUGGCGGGUAGCUGGUCUGGGAGGAUGACCAGCCAGACUGGGACUGAGACACGGCCCAGACUCCUACGGGAGGCAGCAGCAAGGUAUUUUCGGCAAUGGGCGCAAGCUGACCGAGCAACGCCGCGUGCUGGAUGACGGCCCGGGUGUAAACCGCUUUUCGGGGGGACGAUGAUGACGGUACCCCCGGAACAAGCCCCGGCUAACUCUGUGCCAGCAGCCGCGGUAAGACAGAGGGGGCGAGCGUUGUCCGGAGUCACUGGGCGUAAAGCGCGCGCAGGCGGUCGCCAAAGUGUCGUGUGAAAGCCCCCGGCUCAACCGGGGGAGGCCAUGGCAAACUCGGCGACUGUGGCGGCGGAGAGGCCCCUCGAAUUGCCGGUGUAGCGGUGAAAUGCGUAGAGAUCGGCAGGAAGACAAAGGGGGAAGCCAGGGGGCCGGCUGCUGCUGACGCUGAGGCACGACAGCGUGGGGAGCGAACCGGAUUAGAUACCCGGGUAGUCCACGCCGUAAAAAAUGACCACUCGGCGUGCGGCGACUAUUGACGUCGCGGUGCGCCUUACUCACGCGCUAAGUGGUCCGCCUGGGAACUACGAGCGCAAGCUUAAAACUCAAAGGAAUUGUCGGGGGCCCGAACAAGCAGCGGAGCGUGUGGUUUAAUUCGAGGCAACCCGAAGAACCUUACCCAGGCUUGACAUGACGGUGCAGAGGCGGAAACGCCGUCGCCUCCGAGGGCCCGUCA
rnacentral:rRNA from 1 species